rnacentral:rRNA from 1 species
AGUGAACGCUGGCGGUAGGCCUAACACAUGCAAGUCGAACGGCAGCACAGGAGAGCUUGCUCUCUGGGUGGCGAGUGGCGGACGGGUGAGGAAUACAUCGGAAUCUACUCUGUCGUGGGGGAUAACGUAGGGAAACUUACGCUAAUACCGCAUACGACCUACGGGUGAAAGCAGGGGACCUUCGGGCCUUGCGCGAUUGAAUGAGCCGAUGUCGGAUUAGCUAGUUGGCGGGGUAAAGGCCCACCAAGGCGACGGUCCGUAGCUGGUCUGAGAGGAUGAUAAGCCACACUGGAACUGAGACACGGUCCAGACUCCUACGGGGGGCAGCAGUGGGGAAUAUUGGACAAUGGGCGCAAGCCUGAUUCAGCCAUACCGCGUGGGUGAAGAAGGCCUUCGGGUUGUAAAGCCCUUUUGUUGGGAAAGAAAUCCAGCUGGCUAAUACCCGGUUGGGAUGACGGUACCCAAAGAAUAAGCACCGGCUAACUUCGUGCCAGCCGCCGCCGUAA